AUGGAAAGUACAUACACUCGCUGGAUAUAUCAUGGAGAAGACUUUGAUGUUGAUGUGAUUGAAGAACCUGUUCAUGUGCAUGACACCGCCGAUGGUAACAAUGGUGCUGAUCGAUUUGAGGAGAUGUUUGGAGACCUACGCACAACAGUAGAACAAGCUGAAAGUGAAACUGAAAAUCCUUCUGAGCAUGAGUCGUUUUUGAAGAACGCGAUGAAAGAGGCGAAGCAGCAACUUUAUCAUGGUUGUACCAAGUUUUCGAGGUUCUCCUUUGUGGUAAAGCUUCUUCAUUUGAAGUCAUACCAUAGGAUCACAAAUAGUUCAUUUACUGAUAUAUUGAAGAUAUUUGCUGAAGCAUUCCCUGAACCUAAUACACUCCCAAAAUCAUACGAGGAAGCAAAGAACCUUCUGAAGGAAUUAGCCCUUGGGUAUGUUUAUAUACAUGUGUGCUUUAAUAAUUUCAUUUUGUUCAGGAAGCAAUAUGCCAAUCAUGACAACUGCCCAGUUUGUGGCCUAUCAAGGUGGAAAGACCCUGCUAGAAAGAAGAUUCCACAGAAAGUGUUGAGGCAUUUUCCAUUGGUGCCUAGGCUAAGGAGGAUGUUUCUUUCCCAAAAAGGAGCAGAAGAAGCACAAUGGCACAAGCUAAAGAGGCAGCCCAGUGAGAAGGAAUUGAAUCAUCUGAUUGACGGUGAUGCAUGGAAAGAUUUUGAUAAACAAUAUCCAAAUUUUGCAAAAGAUGCUAGAAACAUUAGACUUGGCAUUGCCACUGAUGGGUUCAAUCCUUUUGGAAACUUUAACACAACCUAUAGUAUGUGGCCUAUGUUUGUUAUACCAUACAACUUUCCACCUUGGGCAUGCAUGGACCAAUCAAAUUUCAUGAUGGCUUUCCUAAUUCCAGGUCCUAAAUCACCUGGCAAGCACUUUGUUGUCUUUCUACAACCACUUGUAGAAGAAUUACUUGAGCUCUGGGAGGGUGUGCGUAAUGAAGCUUGA
rnacentral:rRNA from 1 species